CCAAAGUUCUGUUCCCAGCACAUGUGUAAGCCCGCAAACACCUGUACCUGGAACUCCAGAGGAUCCAGUGCCCUCUUCUGUCCUCUGUAGUCACUUACACUCAUGUGGACAUACCCAGAAGUGCCCAUACAUAUGGCAUAGAUACCGUCAUCCUACAAACAUCUAUUUCUCUGGGACAAACUAGCCCCCCACCCAUCUGGAAAGGGAAACGAAAGCAACACGUACCACCAAGUAUUGAAUGCAUGCUAGGCUCUGCCACAUACUUCAUCUCACGAGGACUGGAUUGGAUGCCCUCCACUGGGAACUGCUUUUUGGAUUAUUAAUGAGAUGCGUGAAAUACAGAUGUGAUGGUGAGAGCUGAAGCAACCAUCCUGAACCACAAAAUUCAAGGUUCAUCUCGAGGACGAAGAACAAAACAGAAGGAACUUGGGUUCCUGGUGGUCAUGUGACUGUUAGAGGCGUUUACCUGGGCAUCAAAGGGAAAUGAACUUAUCACGACCAAUCCAUUCCCAUCAUUCCUUCAAGGUGUCUCGAGACUGCUGACGGCUCUCAUGCAUUUAUUCAAUCACGUGGAAACAAGAACAGACUGCCCAGCAUGGCCUUGUCUCGGGAAACAUUUUUAAGCAUGUGAAACUCCAGCACCGCUAUGUGCCUGUUAUGGAAUGGAAUUAAUUUUGUUUUUAUUUCUGCAUUCAGAAAUAGAUUUUUCUGAAUAAUAAACAUCCAGUAAUGCUUA